UAAAAGAUUUUUUUUUUAUUAUAUACAUGUGUGUGUCAGGGGAUAACUGAAGGGUACCCUGUAUGAAUCAGUUCUUCCACUGUGUGGGCUCUGGGACCCAAUCAGAUGGUCAGACUUGGCGCCAGGCACCUUUGCAUGCUAUGCUGGCCAUCUCAUUUAAUCCAAGCAUAAUUUACUGAGUAUCUACUAUGCAGUAAGUUUCAAGUUUGGAGCCGGACACUGUCAAUAAAGCAGACAAAAGUUACUGUCCUCUGAGACAUGAAGAUUUAGGGAAGACGUUUGUAUUCUACAUAUAGUAGAGUGGUGGCUGUUGGAGCACAGGAGAAUCAUAGAGUAUGGAAGGAGCUACAGAGGGUAGUAGUGUGGAUAGUUAGGAGAGGUUUGACGUGAGGGGACCAAAAGAGACUCCACCCUUUUAGCAGCCUCCCAGGCUCCUCCCCACUGGGGCAGCCACAAAGUGCGGCUACUCUCUGAGUGUGUAAAUCCGGGGCUUGGAGGUGGGGGUGCAGAAGGAGAAUUCUCUUUUUCUAUUUAUUGCACGGGAAAGAACAUCCUAUAAAAAUUGACUCAGAGGGUGCAACGUUCUGCUUCAAUCCUCUCCCUCAGUUUACCAAGCGCCUGUAGGCUUGAUUCUGCCUUCAGAGAGCUUACCUCUCUGAUUAAGCUACUCAACACCAAGCUCCAAGCCCCAAACAAGUGCAAGGGUUGCCAAGGCCAAGGUGGGAGUUUCCUGGACACUGCAAAGCCACGCUGACAGCUCACACCCUCUUAGUGCCUGGACAGGCUCUGGAGAACCAGGGGCAUAGAGAAGGGGAGGUGGGUGGGAUGAGGGAACUGUAGCCAGUAGGCCACAGUCUCGUCCCCAUCUUCCUCCUGUGGAGCAGAUGGAGAGCCAGAGACUGACCCGGACGGUUGGCAGUUCCGGAAGGAAGACAGGCAGUGUCUGGUUAGAAGUAGUCUCUGGUGCUGCCUGGAUCUCCUAGACCAGCUAGCGCCUUUAACUCUGCUGCCAGGUCCCCCAGCUCCCGGGUUCAGCCCCGCCCCCGGCGCCAUCCCUUAGCUUGUGGACCGGCUGAGGCAUCCAGGGGCAGGACGGAGCAAAGGUCCAGGCCCUCCCUCCUCUUCUCUGUGGGUGUCCGGGAACGCGCGCGUGCGCGUGAAAGAACGGAGCGUGCAGGACGGAGAGGCGGCGCGCGGUUUUUCAGGUAAUCUCAACCCGACAAAAUGUUUGCCAAAGCAACUCGAAAUUUUCUUAAAGAAGUUGAUGCUGGAGGAGACCUGAUUUCAGUCUCACACUUGAACGACUCUGACAAGCUGCAACUUCUAAGUCUGGUGACCAAAAAGAAGAGAUACUGGUGCUGGCAGAGACCCAAGUACCAGAUUUUAUCUGCCACCCUGGAAGAUGUACUCACAGAAGGGCACUGUCUCAGUCCAGUGGUUGUGGAGUCAGACUUCGUGAAAUACGAGAGCAAGUGUGAGAACCAUAAGAGCGGGGCUAUUGGGACAGUCGUGGGGAAGGUCAAGCUGAACGUUGGUGGCAAAGGCGUGGUGGAGAGUCACUCUUCGUUUGGAACCCUGAGGAAGCAGGAGGUGGACGUGCAGCAGCUCAUCCAGGAUGCCGUCAAGAGAACAGUUAAUAUGGACAACCUGGUACUUCAGCAGGUGCUAGAGAGCAGGAACGAGGUCCUGUGUGUGCUGACGCAGAAGAUCAUGACCACGCAGAAGUGCGUGAUUUCUGAGCAUGUGCAGUCGGAGGAGACGUGUGGAGGCAUGGUGGGGAUCCAGACCAAGACUAUACAGGUGUCAGCAACGGAGGAUGGGACGGUCACCACGGACACCAAUGUAGUGCUGGAGAUCCCUGCUGCCACCACCAUUGCCUAUGGCAUCAUGGAGCUGUUUGUGAAACAAGAUGGCCAGUUUGAAUUCUGCCUCCUCCAAGGGAAACAUGGUGGCUUCGAGCAUGAGAGGAAACUAGACUCUGUCUACUUGGACCCCCUGGCCUACAGAGAGUUCGCCUUUCUGGACAUGCUGGAUGGGGGUCAAGGGAUCUCUUCGCAGGACGGGCCCCUACGAGUUGUAAAACAAGCAACCCUGCACCUAGAGAGGAGUUUCCAUCCCUUUGCGGUGUUACCUGCCCAGCAGCAGAGGGCGCUGUUCUGUGUCCUGCAGAAAAUCCUGUUUGAUGAAGAACUCCUUCGGGCCCUGGAGCAAGUGUGUGAUGAUGUGGCUGGUGGUCUCUGGUCCUCACAGGCUGUAUUGGCAAUGGAGGAGCUGACCGACAGUCAGCAGCAGGACCUCACAGCCUUCUUGCAGCUGGUGGGAUACAGGAUACAAGGAGAGCAUCCUGGCCCACAGGAUGAGGUCAGCAACCAGAAGCUCUUUGCAACAGCCUACUUCCUGGUCAGCGCACUAGCAGUGAAAAUGACCUGAAUGCAUGUCAUCUACAGAAAUGCCUGAUAAUGCCACAGUUUUCCUGGGGACUUGCUGCAAACUCCAUGUUAUUUCUUCGCUGUGCUGCUUGCUCCAUGCUCUGUCUGAUGACAGCGUGUGUGAUUUUCACAACCCCACCUUGGCUCCUCUGAGAGACACAGAGAGGUUUGGCAUCGUGCAGCGAUUGUUUGCCUCUGCUGACAUUGCCCUGGAGAGGAUGCAGUUUUCUGCGAAAGCCACCAUCCUGAAGGACUCUUGCAUCUUCCCGCUAAUUCUUCACAUCACUCUAAGUGGGCUCAGCACUCUAAGCAAAGAGCAUGAGGAAGAGCUUUGUCAGUCAGGACAUGCUACAGGUCAAGACUAGCUACUUUUCAGGAUUGAGAAACUACUUUGGGAUUUUGGGCCCAAGCAGGUUCAGUCUGCCAGUGAAUUCCAGUGCACCUCAGAGGUGGUGUCUUUGUGAAUGGCUGCGAGCGUUGUCAAUGGGUUAUUCUCAUCAGAGGCCCACUGCACUGACACUGGAGUCACUGAGGGAAGAACCACCUGUCAGUCACUUUAUCUUCCACUCUUAUCUGAUGUACAAAAGCAGAAGAGUCUCAGAUUUUACUUCAGAGUCCAUCAUAAGCUGGGAAUGCAACAGGGAAGCAAUUUCCUUCCCAUCCUUCAGACAUGCUGUACACUACUGGGUGACUGGGAAACCAGAAAUGCUACUUGAGUACAUAAAACAAUUAUAGUAAGAACAUCUAAUUUGACCCACCUCAACAUGAGAACUUAAAUAUAUUCCUCUUAUUUGACUUUGUUAUGCUUUAAUGAACAUAUUAUGUCUGGGGCAAUUCCAGUGCGUUCUGGGAAUUUGUCACAUGUUGCAAUUUCUAUUAAAAGCAAUUCUGAACUAUGUGUAGUUGGCUGUUCUAUGUGUAGUUUUGAUGCACUUCUGCUUCAGCAGGCUUGGACAGUCUCUUGAAGCCUCCUGAUUCCACUGAGCGCAUCUGUUACUAUUGAUCAGACCCAAUGCCCCUGGGCAGCAGCCGCAGUGAGAUGCGUGUUAGCAUAUAGUUUUCACCUCCACUUCAUUCAUGUGGCACCUUCAGAUUAUAAGGAAGAGUAACAAAGAUGAAGUAAGUCAUUUCUAUUUAAAAUGAGAUUCAAGCUAAUGCAGCUGCCUAUUACAGGGGUCAUAACGGUGCAAACCAGCAACACUGCUCGUGAACUAACUAGAUUAGGAAGGAAAAUGCAACUCGUGUACCUGUGCUGUGCUGGUGGUGCCUGUUCUUUUGUCUAUUUCCGAGAGCAGGCAUCAGGAGCAAGCUCUGAACAGAACAUAUGAUACGAAUCUAGAGGUAGGAAAACAUACGCAUGGGGAUGCAUGCCAAGAUUCAGGAGAAGCCCAGCAGUGGCUCAGCAUACUGCAGAGACUUGGAGAGUGGUACAAAAGACCAAACAGGUUAUGUCUCCAGCUUUGCAUCUAGCUAGGAUUUUGUACUAUCCUUCUAAUUAAGGAAAAAAGAACCCUGAAGAUGGGUCUGCGGAGACUGCUCAGUAGGUAUGUGCUUGUUGUACAAGCAUGAGAGCCUGCACUGCGUCCCCAGCACCCGUGGAGAACCGAGCAUCAGGAUCACAUAAGCGCUACCAGCACCGAAGGCAGACAGGGCCACGUGUGGGUUUGCUGGCUUACCAGAAGCCAACCAGAGAGCUUCAGUUGCAGUCAGAAAACUUGUCUGGAAAAAUAAUAAUACCUGGAAAGCAUAGAGGAAGAUGCCUCUAGCCUCUAUGUGCAUGUGUGGGCACACACAAAUAAUAAAAAUAAACCAUUCUCCUGAAGACAUCAGAAAGACUCUAAAGUCUUUCUUUAGUAGCAUGUUCCUGAAUUUGAGUUAUGGGAUCCUAAGAGCCAGCAUGGGAGAAUUACAAAGGGCUCUGGAAAGGCUUCCUCUACACAAAGCCACAUUUUAAUGAGUCUGCCUUCUUCCUGCAGGCCCGGUGUAAAAUGCAACCAACAGGUAUGCUUGAUGAAACACAUGGUUUCUCUUUCCUGGACACAUGGGGAGUGGCUAUAGUGACUCAUGCUGUCUAAACAGAGUCUCUGUUUCUUGAUUCUGUAUUUUAAUCUUCCCAAUUCUGAGAACCUUUACAACAAAAGGCAUCAACAAAUCUCUGCUGGGAUAGAAACAAAAGCACAGGGAAGCCCUGCUGAAAAGUAGAGGCAGAUGAAAAUUUAUUUAUGUGGAAGAAAAUUACAUCAGGGACUUAAAAAAAAUCUUUUAACCAACGUUAAUGUGAUACCCUGCAGUUUUAUCUCUUAGGUCUACCUAUAAACAAAGCACUUCAACUUUCUCAACAGCAAGUAUUUCUUUAUACACUCAAAAGUAUUUUACCAGGAAUGUGCGAUUUCAAAGUGAACAUUGCUAUGAUUUUAAGCUAUAUCUGGAAAUAUGUUCUAAGAUUUAUAGUGAAUUUCUGAAAAACCAGCCCACACUACCUUAUCGGAGAUUAACACCCGUGAGCAGCAGUGAUGGCUCUCCUUGCAGAAACUACUAACGCUGAUGCUCUGAAGGCAGGAUGCUUAACUUUUACUUUUAAAGCUUUUCAUCAGAAAGUUACUAGAGCAGCUUGGCCAACUGUCUUCUACUGAAAACUCCUUACCGUCACUUCAGAGGGUGAGGUUUAAAAAAAAAAAAAAAAAGAAAGAGAAAAGCAUGUGUUUCUACUAGGUUCUAACAGCCAGGAGGAAAGGCAUAUAAUGAACUAGGCGGGUGCUAAAAUUUCCCACAGCAAGUCACUCACAGCAAAUGCUACUUGUGGGCUAUUCAAAAGAACCUGCAGAAAUUUUCAUUUGUUGCUGAACAUUGUGUUAACUUUAUGUCAACUUGACACAGACAUCUGAGGAGAGAACCCCAAUUAAGAAAAUGCCUCUGUAAGAGUGGGCAGCAGGCAAGCUGGUAGAGCAUUACUGAAUGAUGGGGGAGGACCCAGCUCUUUAUGGGCAGUUAUCCCCAGGCUGGUGGCCCUGGUGUCUAAAAGUAAGCACGCUGAUAGGUUGAGCAAGCCAUGUAAUCAAGCCAGUAAGCAGCACUCCUCCAUGGCCUCGGCAUCAGCUCUUGCCUCCAGGUUCCUGCGCUGUUUGAGUUCUUAGCCUAGCUGAUGAUGAACUGUGAUGUGGAAAUGUAAGUCAAGCUCUUUCAUUAACAAGUCGCCUUGGCCAUGGUGUUUCAUCAUAGCAACAGCAACGUUAACUAUUGCUCCUUCUUUUGUAGGAAGUCAGGGUUAUGGACGAAACAGGAGCCAGCAUCACUUCUUUUAAGAUGACAUACAGUGAAAUUUGCAUUUCACGUUCAGAUAUGUAACAGAACCAUGAAAUAGCAUUAAUGUUAUAAAGGAUUUACUAAUAAAGUUGCUUAGUAGAAAGUAAGUUACACAAAGUAGGACUUAGCUAAGGGAGCAAUGCCUCCUCAGAACUCGAAAAUAAGCAGUGUGCUAACCAGGCUUGUUAGUUUGUUCCUCAAACACAACUCAAGUUUAAAACUGUUGAACCUGUCUACCAGGACUAAGUGGCCGUUAAGCCUAUUCCCAUAUCAGAAUACUUGUCUCUAAGGUGACUCAAGGAAGUGGUACAGGGUGACAGCCAUCAUAUCUGCCAUGAAGUUUCUGUCCUUUUACUAGGGAAAGCAUUAAUUCUGCAGAGUGAGAAAGAUGACCCUGGGGAACAACCAGCCAACAGAUCAACACUGUCAUGGCGUUGCUAUAUCAAUCUCCCAGCUGCCCCCCAGCUCUGCGGUCAGGACCUGAAGGAGAGUUAAGGGUGGCAGCACACACGGAAUGUAUAGGCCUAAGGCCUGUAUACACUGGGAAAACCUUGACUGAGGCCACUCCCUUUUGUGGUCAACAAAACCAGGCACACAUUAUCAUUAAAGUUUUUCCUCUAUUAAUUUUGAUGUGCUCAGAGUGAUUUCUCUGGAAAGUCAUGUUUGUUCUUUAACAGGACAGCAUCAAACUGGUUCUGCCUGAAAGACUAAAGUAUUUCUCACUUGGACUAUGCUUACUAGCAGUGUUACAACUAACCAGCUCUCUUACAUAAGAUGUAACCAUGUCUUAGUUGGUAAUGGCGUCUGGCUUAAUAUAGCUGAUGGGGAUUUUUGUUUCUGAGGUUCUGGCAUAUGCCUAGGGCCUUGUGUACAGCAGACUUGCAAAGUGCUCCAUCUGCCUCUAGGUCCCGUCCUCCUCUGCUGAACACUUCCCAACACUUCCUUUCCUCUUUCUAGUUUUAAGUUUCUUACUUAGUUUUAAGGUGACUCAGGGUGACAGCCAUCAUACCUGCCAUUAAGUUUCUGUCCUUUUAUUAGGGAAAGCAUAAUAAACUCCUUCCAAGUUCUCAGGCCACCUUGACUAGUAAAUCUGAGGUAUGGCCUAUCACAUUUAUAUGUUGCCUAUUUAUGGUUUGCCUUUGGCUCAGUUACAAUAAAAACAAUGAUUUCUGACUUUUGAAAUGAAAGCUGGGACUACUGCUCAGUAAUGGAGCAUGCUCUGUAGAGGCAAAGUCCUGGGCUUAAGCUCCACGGGAGUAAGAACAGUUAUUUCAGGAGACAUAAAAAGCAGUAUUUUAUAUAUAAGAAGCAUUCAGCUUCCAAGUUAUAAGUGGCGUUUACCUUAACUACUGAUGUGUUAAUUCAGUUUAUGUGAGUGAUUAAAAAAAAAACCAACAACAAAGUAUGGGAAAAAUGGCCAUUCUGACCUGUGUCCCGUGGCUGCUUGUUAUCCCAGCACAGGUUACUAGCCAUAAGCCAGUAAGCAAUCAGAACGAGAAAGAGGUAUUUUCUAGAUUUUGGGGUACAUUAAUUGGACCUAACUGCAUUUUUUCUAAUUAAGAGAUAGGUGCGUAUAGAGCCUCGCACUAUGGGUAAAAUCCAGGUUGUACUGUCAAUUUCAGAGUGCUAAGAUCAGUCUACGCUGAUGUACUCUGAUGCCAGAGGAUUUCAAUGGCCUGGUCAGCGAGGGACUUGGAAGAGGAUUUAACGGGGCUCCUAGAUUAGGACCACUGACAGGCAGACCAGACUGCCUUCCAGACUGCAGCCACAUCACGGAGCUCUCUUAACCCUGGGCAUGGAUUCCAGAACAGCUCAGCAUCUGCUAUUUCACCUCAGAAUGAGGCGACUUUACAGGGACUGAAGGAGAAACAACCUUGGGUAAGAGAACACAUUUAAUAAGUAGUCUCAAAGCCUUAUCAUCGAAGCACAAUCAGUUCCUCCUCAGAGUUUAAGAUGAAGACAAGUCUUACCUUAGCCCUACUUAACAUACAGAAGGUAAAGGGAGAGUAAAUGUUAUUAAAUCAGCCAGCAGUGGGAUGCUGGUCAUCAGAAGCAGAGAAACCACUUUUACUCUUAUCACACAAGAUGACUUUUAAGACAUUCUUGUAGUGUUUGCCCAAGUGGUACAAACCCACCGUGCUUACCUUAGAAAAGCAUCAUGAUCGCACUUUUCUCUCCAAAGACGGAGUUUCUCUGUGCAACAGUUCCGGCUACCCCAGAACCUGAUCUGUAGACCAGGCUGGCCUUGAACUCAGAGACCCACCUCCUCUGCCUCCCAAGUGCUCGGAUAAAGGUGUGUGCCACUUGCACCCGGCUAGUCUCUCAUUUUUUAGUCCACUAAGGAUGUGUUAAUUCUUUGAGUUUUUCAAAAGUUACUCCAGGAUUCAAAGUAGUAAGAUGGAAAUAUGAUAAAUAUUUUUAAAAGAAUAUAACUUUAAAAGCUAAAACAAAAAUACAAUUUAAAAAUAACCUUACCUUAAACAAUUAGAGAAUUAUCAUCUUCUUCAGGUAUAUCACAUAUACUUACAGAAAGACCAAUAUGAUGCUGAAUUUUUCAUCAAAUGUAUUCUUAAAAAAUCUGUGUAUAUUCAGUUAUAUACAAUAAUCUCAUUAUUUAAAAUACUAAAUUUCUCCCAAGAACUCCAAAUACAUUACAGAUGUUAUAAGAAUUCUCACAGCAAAUCCCUUGGAACAAGAGGAGGGCAGGCACUGUAAUCUUUAAGUCUAAAUCAUAUCAAAAAUUUUUCACUGGAAAAUUUAAGGAAAUAUUUCCCAAGAGGCCUCCAUGCAAAAAUCUGUUUUUUGUUAAAAAGAAAAUUAAAUUCUAAUAGUAAGUAACAAUUUUCUGAACUUAGUUUCUCUAAUAAACAGAAUAUUCAGAAAGGGAAUUAGUGUCAGCUCCAAGGUGGAGCCAAAGCCUCUUAAGAGAACCUCAUAUAGGGCCAGAAUAUCUACAAAUCUGAAAGUAAUCAAAGAUCUUAGAAUACUAGCUGUAACAUGUGGGCAAAUAUAUCUAGCUUUAUUAUUCAUAAAUUUUGGAAGAAUGCUACGUAUUAUACAUGUAGCUUUGUGUGUGUGUGUAUGGAUAUCCAUACACACACGUUUUUACAAAAUGAACUAUUUAUGUACACAUACUUCAGAACUGCCUUUUCCUUAUUUAGUGUAAAGAUUAGUUGCUAUGGAGGUAGGACCCUCAACUCUGUAAUUCUGUAUAAUGGAGAACUGUUUCAAACUCUCUACAUUUUCAAUUUACUCAUUUAAAAUAAUUAUAACUAAUUCUGUGGCCUUGACAGCUAAGCUCAAUCACUGAAUCAUGAUACUUGAUAUAUAUAAAACUAAGUAUUGUUUUGGAGUUAGGAUCAUUUCUUGUGUUGCCCGGAUCUCAUAUGUGCUAGGUACAUACUCUGACAACAAUAGCCCUGGGCCCUGUUCUGUUUUGUUUUGAGCCGGGGUCUUGCUAUGUUACCCAGGCUAGACUCCAGCUUGCUCUCCUCCUCCGUCGGCCUCCUAGGUGCCUGCACUACUAGGCCUGGCAUCAUCAGCAUUUUGGCCAGGUUAGUACCUGGCCAUAAUCAACGUCCUACUACUGGAUUUUACUGCUAUCUUGAGCUAUUUUCUAAAUAAGUUUUAAUAAUCAAUUUGUCAUUUUAAAAGAAGUGUUUUAAACUUAUUAUAAAUUACCAGACUCUGGAAUCUAGGGCUUAGUCCUAUUUGGUUUAUGAUGAUAUCUAUUUCAGAAAGCUAUGGUCAGCAAUUAUAUCAAGUCAGACAAAAACAAACACUUUUGCUGUAUUUGACAUCAGAUAUUAACUAAAAAACAGAAAUGGAGACUGUACAGUAAAAGCACUGUAAGACUGAAGGUGAAAACUCUACUGUAGGGCAGUAAAUAUACUCCAUUGCCUAAGGUUAAAUGACUUGUUCAGAGACAUCAUUUCUACAGGCAUUUGCACAUUUGAAAAUGAAAUAAUACAUGUAACCAUUAGUUAUAAAGAAAUAACCAUGCCCUCAACGCUGAAUAUGGACACUCAUCUUUUAGUAUACUUAUGGAUACACGUGUGUCUUCCCAAAGCUCAUGCAUGUGUGUGUACAUUUUUUUACAUAGUACCAAUUAUUGAACACCACUGUAUGCCCUUUCAUCUUCAGUAAAGCUAUUAUAAAUGAGUCUGUUAUGUUAGACUCUCCCCAUGAGAGAAGUAUAAAUUUCCUUGAUCAUGUCAUCUAGGAAGAAUCUUUUUGUCAGGCCUGAUGGUUUCUAUAGACUCAGAUGGGAACUUGAGUUUCAAAUUUGGUGAUUUUUCACUGAGAAACAGUUGUAUUUUCUUAAUAUUGGCAUUUAUAUUAUAGUGAGCAAAACUAUCAUUCCAUUAGGAGAAAUCUAAUGUAGCUAUGUUGAUGGCUCAUGAGUACCAUUUAUAACAGAAACAAUGUUAAAUACAGAUGAUACUCUAGACAUUAUGCAUUUUUAUAUUUAACAUGAGAAAGAUAUGUAGCUAUUGUUUCUGUUGGACCCAGAUGGUAGAAAUACUGAGUGGAUAGACUGCUCUGCUGAUAAAAUUUUUCCAAAGCAGCUGAGAAAGGCUUCAUAAGACAGCAUGAAGGUACACUGGGGAAUAUGGAACAUUUCCUGUGAGCACAGAACUGAACUUUCUCUGCAAGCUUACAUUACAGUGUGCUGAAACACUAAGUUACAAGGUGUCAUGCAAAUAUUGUGCUCUGACUCAUGUUACAAUGAGAAUCCAUGAGUUUUAGCAAAUACAUGUAGUUUACAAAGUUAUUAAGUGUAUGGUCCACUUUGUUAACACUUUGCUGCUCCCUCCCCACCAAAAAAAAAAAAAAAAAAAAAAAAAAAA